UUCCCAAAUACUGAAUUCUUACGUACACUGGAGGCAGAACAUAUGUGAGUGUCUCAGCUCAACAACAGAAGAUGAAGAACCUUCCUGUUACUGUAAUACAGCUUUAAGAAGUACUUCUACAGCAAUAGAACUGGAAUCCAGAGCAACUAGUUGCAGUAAAAUGCAUCUACUGCAGAAGACCUCAAUAAUGCAUAAGAACAUCUGGAAGUACGGUAAUUUCAGCUAUCAGAGAUAAGAAUUGACACAGAACAGGUAAACCCUACAAAGUCAUCAUGUUGAAAUGAACUGAUUAAGGUUUAGUAACAUAAAACAUCAUGUAUAGUGUUUCCAUGCUUGCUACAUCUUGCUAUUUUAUAUUAAAAGAGGAAUGUCAAUUAUAUAUAUUUAAUAGGUUGAUUAGCUGGUAGCAAUAUUAUAUUUUACAUAAAGAGACAGAAAUGUCUGCAGAUCUAUUGCCAUACACAUCUAUUUAGAAUUAACUGUGAGUUCAUAGAAAAUACAUGGGCAUAGUAAACAGGGUUUUGAAAUGACAAUUUUUUACUGGUUGCAAGUGCUAAUUGCUAGUUUCUCAAGGGUAUAGAAUUAAUCACCUGCUAGAUUUACAGUCUCUAGGUUGAGACCUUAGGAUGGAGGCAAUAAGAAAAGCUCUUGAGGGACAUAUCAUAUGGUGAGUCUAAAUAUCAGUCUCUAUGCAUAUGUAAAUUGGUAACAAAGUUUUUUCAAAGCUCAAGUAUGCUAAUUUCAAACAGGCAAGACUAAAGCUAGCUUUUACCAGCUGUUUAACGUCUGCCUGUGGGUGGUAGAGAGAGCUUAAAAUACAAGCAAACAGUGGUGCAUAAGUAAUUAAGCAACAUUUUGCUGGGCAUAAAUAAUUCUGUUUAUAUUGCUCUUUUGAAGAGUAUAGAAUACAAAAUAACAGAUCAAGUGCACCUUUGGUCACCAGAGGUUAACUGUUCCUCCUCUUUACCUUUUCUUUGGUUUUACAAUUUAAGGGGAAUAAAUACAAAGUCAGUCUUUUAAAACUUCA
rnacentral:lncRNA from 1 species